rnacentral:rRNA from 1 species
AGAGUUUGAUCAUGGCUCAGGAUGAACGCUGGCGGCGUGCCUAACACAUGCAAGUCGAACGGACUUUUCAUGAAGCCUAGCGAUUGAAAAGUUAGUGGCGGACGGGUGAGUAACGCGUGGGUAACCUGCCUUGUACUGGGGGACAACAGUUGGAAACGACUGCUAAUACCGCAUAAGCGCACAGCUUCGCAUGAAGCAGUGUGAAAAACUCCGGUGGUACAAGAUGGACCCGCGUCUGAUUAGCUGGUUGGUGAGGUAACGGCCCACCAAGGCAACGAUCAGUAGGGGUUCUGAGAGGAAGGCCCCCCACAUUGGAACUGAGACACGGUCCAAACUCCUACGGGAGGCAGCA